rnacentral:sRNA from 1 species
GGGAGUUGCCUGAGAGAAAGGGGGCAGAAGUCCCUGGGUUCCGGUGUUCCCGGCGGAGUCGAGGCACGGAGAGGCUUCGGGUCGGGGGCGGAAAGAAGGGCGGCCCGCCAAGCGGGCAGGGUCCAUGGAUUCGGGGUGAGGGCCGUCCGCGGCCUCGCUUUCGCCUCCUCCGAGCCGGGCCGGCGAUGGUCGCAGCUGUGAGGCGAGCAGAAUAGAAGGAAGGUGAUAGGAUGUGAUGAUAGAAUUUGUGAUGGCCAAGCAACAACUUUUCCUAAUUCGGCAUGUUAAAAAAUAAGGGUCACUCAUCUAAGAAAGAUAACUUGGCAGUCAAUGCAGUUGCUUUACAAGAUCACAUUUUACAUGAUCUUCAACUUCGAAAUCUUUCAGUUGCAGAUCAUUCUAAGACACAAGUACAAAAGAAAGAGAACAAAUCUCUAAAAAGAGAUACAAAGGCAAUAAUAGAUACUGGACUUAAAAAAACUACACAGUGCCCCAAACUAGAAGACUCAGAAAAAGAAUAUGUUCUUGAUCCCAAACCACCACCAUUGACUUUGGCACAGAAGUUGGGCCUCAUUGGGCCUCCACCACCUCCACUGUCAUCAGAUGAAUGGGAGAAGGUGAAACAGCGCUCCCUCCUGCAAGGGGACUCCGUGCAGCCAUGCCCCAUCUGUAAAGAAGAAUUCGAGCUUCGUCCUCAGGUGUUUAGCAUACGAGGGUGAGCUAGAGAGCUCGUGGGCUGUUUCCUAGGGACGAGGCCCAGAGCUGAAGCCUAAGAUUCCAAGCUUCCUUUUUCCAGUUUCAUCCUCCUGUGUGAGCCUCACACACUUCCAUUUUGUUUUCCAUUAAUUAAAGUGUGUGAAGAGCUAAACACUCUCAUUAGUUUUGUUUGUUUACUAA